rnacentral:rRNA from 1 species
GCGUGUGUGAAGAAGGCCUGCGGGUUGUAAAGCACUUUCAGCAGGGAAGAAAAGCGCGGGGCUAAUACCCCCGAGUCUUGACGUCACCUGAAGAAGAAGCACCGGCCAACUCCGUGCCAGCAGCCGCGGUAAUACGGAGGGUGCGAGCGUUAAUCGGAAUUACUGGGCGUAAAGCGCACGUAGGCGGCUUCCUAAGUCGGAUGUGAAAGCCCCGGGCUUAACCUGGGAAUUGCAUCCGAUACUGGGUGGCUAGAGUAAGGGAGAGGGAAGCGGAAUUUCCGGUGUAGCGGUGAAAUGCGU